ensembl:lncRNA
AACAGAUACGAAUACUUAGGCACAAUCAUUUUUCAAAGCUGUAUUUGCUUUACACAAAAGCUGAAUGUACAUGAACAUAAUAGCUGUAUAUGGUCUGUUUCAUCUGCAUCAAAACUUUAAUUAUUUUUCUUUUUUUUUUCUUAGCUGAGAAGAUCGAUCAAGAAACCCUCCUUCUUUUAGAUGAUGCCACACUGACUUCUCUUAUCCCUAUUAUUGGACUUCGUUUAAAAUUCAAGAAAUACCUCAAGAAUGUGCUUGAUGAAUCAAUCAAAGAGCCUGCAACUACAGCUACUGAACCAAGGGAGCAGCAGCAGGAUCCUGAGCACAGGAAAUCGGUAGAGCAAGUAGCAGCAUUUAAUGUAAGAGACAUCCUUGCAACAACAUCCUGUGGCAGCAGUAUUGUGGAUACCAUUGAAAAAAAUAACUGCAUUUCGAUUAAAGAAAGACAAGCCAUGGUUCGUAUCUUGGUCUCACAUCUAAUUGAGCGCUUUGGAGAAAAUCCAAGUGCAGCAACAAAAGUCAUGCUGGCUUCAUCAGUAGUCGAACAAUUUCCAUGCCUUAAGGAUUGCCAGGGUAAAGGAUAUGAAGCAUGGUUCAGUCCAGGUAGAUUUCACAGACCUGCCACAGGCUUCCUGGAGGAGCGUCUUCGGAACGUGCGCAAAAAGAUCCGAAGAGGAAGACACAAAACUAUUUCUUCGGAAACCCCAACAAACAGCAGCAAUUUUACUUUGCCAGAGUCAAAUGUGGACUCGGAAAGAGCGACUCAAAUGACCGAGUGGCUCAAAAAUAAUAUCUGGCCAGCAAGUCAGGUUGAGCAUUACAUGAAAGAGACAGCGAUCCAAAGGGCCAAAUGGAUUCGUGACCAUGGAUCAAAGACAAUAAUGGAAAUAGUCAAAGAGUAUCCACGUCUCCUUGACACUCCAGACAUGAUAACACAGGAUUUCUUAAUUUUGAAUCCAGACUGUGCUUCCAAACUCACAGAAAAUUGGGUACCUGUGUUUAAGGAUAAGAUUUUACAGUUUGCCAGAAAAGAGAAACAAGCUGUUGAACUACUUCACAACAUUGAAAUGAUGUCAGCAGAGAGACAGAGUGACAUUGCCGUGCAAGUCCUACCUGUAGUCCUUCCAACACAUGUGUACAAAAUUGGAAGAAAAAUGUUCAGACCAACUUUCCUAGAAACCAGGAAGGCCUUCAUAGACAUACAGCCUGUAAGUUAACAGCCACUUCUAAAACUACAUUAAGUAUUUACAAUAUAAAGUUUAUUUAAAUAUAUAAUUUUUUUUAUUAUUAUUGAAUGCACAUUUAAAACGAUAUGCUUCAUGCUGCAUUAUUGCGUUAGGGGAAUAAAGACUUGACUUAUCUGUCUCUGCUGACUGCU